rnacentral:rRNA from 1 species
GUGUCAGCAGCCGCGGUAAUACGUAGGUGGCAAGCGUUGUCCGGAAUUAUUGGGCGUAAAGGGCUCGCAGGCGGUUUCUUAAGUCUGAUGUGAAAGCCCCCGGCUCAACCGGGGAGGGUCAUUGGAAACUGGGAGACUUGAGUGCAGAAGAGGAGAGUGGAAUUCCAUGUGUAGCGGUGAAAUGCGUAGAUAUAUGGAGGAACACCAGUGGCGAAGGCGGCUCUCUGGUCUGUAACUGACGCUGAGGCUCGAAAGCGUGGGGAGCGAACAGGAUUAGAAACCCCCGUAGUCC